UACGAAGGGGGCUAGCGUUGCUCGGAAUCACUGGGCGUAAAGCGCACGUAGGCGGAUUGUUAAGUCAGGGGUGAAAUCCUGGAGCUCAACUCCAGAACUGCCUUUGAUACUGGCGAUCUUGAGUCCGGGAGAGGUGAGUGGAACUGCGAGUGUAGAGGUGAAAUUCGUAGAUAUUCGCAAGAACACCAGUGGCGAAGGCGGCUCACUGGCCCGGUACUGACGCUGAGAUACGAAAGCGUGGGGAGCAAACAGG
rnacentral:rRNA from 1 species